GAUUUAUUAGGAUGUCCUUCUGAAGGCGUUAGGGUGGAUUUCAGAACAAACUUGGAAGAAAGUGCUAGAAAAGGGAAGUGGACGUUGAGCCACCAACCAACACAAUCUGCCUCUCUAUUCUGAAGAUUUUGAGUAAGUCAGUCUUUUGCGAGUUGUGGGCUGCCACACAUGUGUCUCAGGAGAAAAACACCAUUUCAACAGGUUCUGAGAGACAAGACUUCAACAACAGAGGGCCAGGAAGAAUUGCGGAGUUCAAGCCAACCAAGGCAAAUUAACUAUCUCAUAGAAAGUUGCUGCUCAGUCCAUCCUAGAGGGAAUCAGUCCUGAACAUUCACUGGAAGAACUGAUGCUGAAGCUGAAGCUCCAAUACUUUGGCCACCUGAUGCGAAGAGCUGACUCACUGGAAAAGACCCUGACGCUGGGAAACAUUGAGGGCAGGAGGAGAAGGGGGCAACAGAGGAUGAGAUAAUUGGAUGGCAUCACCGACUCAAUGGACAUGAAUUUGAGCAAGCUCUGGGAGACUGAAGGACAGGGAAGCCUGGUGUGCUACAGUCCAUGGGGCCGCAAAGAGUUGGACACAACUGAGUUGACUGAACAACAGAAAGGAGUGAAUGUCUUGCCAUAACAGAAAGGACCCUCUUCUUUCUUUCCUUCAUGUAGUAUAUAAAUUGAGCAUUUCUUCUACAUCAGAAACUAGGGUACCAACUAAUCUAAAGCUAAGUAAGACAUGGUAGCUACUAAGGAGCUCUUACAACCUUGCCAAGGCUGCAAAACUUGUUGGCCAGGAAAUGCAGUCUUAUUGUAGGUGCUGUGCUAGACACAAGAGGCACCAGAACAUGCAAAGGGAGUGAGAAGUUCCACAGUCAUUAAAGGCAUAGGAAAAGGCAUAGAAAACUUAUAUGUUGAUUGGUCUUAAAAAUAAAGUUAUUGAAAAUUUUCUUAGUUGCCCUUACAUAUGUUAAGGCACAAUGGGUGAAGGGAGAGUCUGUACUAGUCUCAAAUUUUAUCCAGUGAGAUUGAUUCCUGUUACUCCCUUGCACAGGAACACAGUUUAUCUCAUAUUUCUUGUUUGUUUGUUUCCAUCUGUCUAGAGAGAUACAGGAACCAGUAAGUUCGUGGUUUCAGCACCAUUUGCCACAUUGCUCCCUGGGAUGCUUACCUCUGAGAAAGGCAAAGUCUUCUGAAAUUUAUCUAAUCAAUUUUUACCUAUUAUUGCUCUCUGUUACACUGCAUGGUGCUCAAAGUAUAAACUUACAAAAAUCUUAACCACAAGCAGAAAGCUGAUUUUUCUUCAUUUCUCUUUUUGAAAAUAUGAUGUCUACAUGAUUUUAAACACUUGGGAUGAUAAGGUUUAUUAACGGUGUGGUAAAAUUUUGUGAUAAUAGUCAAGUAAAAGUAAUGCAUACCCAAUUAUUCAGAAAACAAGAAUAUCUCACUCUAAGCAAGAAACUCUCUGUUAAAGUUAGCCAUCACAGAAUAGAUGCCUUCUAACCUGCUAAAACCCCUGAUGCUGAAAGUAGGAAAAGCACACUGGUAUUAACUAAGGAAGUCAAUAAAUAUCUUUAUUUUAGAAAGGUUAUUUGGAUUAUAUGACAUACCAUCUUGAAGAUUUUUAUCAUUCUAUCAAAUAUGGUUUAAAUAAAAAUAAUUCCUACAGUAAUCAGCUAGUUUAAAAGUCUCAAGGCAGCAAUAUCUGCUUGUUCUCCCACAUAAAAAAUGAAGGUAUCAAGAACAAGUACGUUAGUUUUGGCAUGUUUCCUUGCUUGUAACUUUUUACUAACUUAGCGCCUAUGAACUUUAAUGAAUAUGAGUAACACAGGGCCAAAAGCAUGAUAGUAAGCUGCGUCAUCCUCU
rnacentral:lncRNA from 1 species